GAAUAUUAAGGGCAAACCUGUGGAAAUGCAGGGACGCAAAGCUAUGGGUCUAAAGAUAUGAGAGUAUCAAUGACUGCCAGGCCGCUAUU
rnacentral:ncRNA from 1 species